rnacentral:rRNA from 1 species
AACUAACGCUGGCGGCGUGCCUAACACAUGCAAGUCGUACGAGAAAGUCGGCUUCGGCCGAUAAGUAAAGUGGCGCACGGGUGAGUAACGCGUGGGUAAUCUGCCACCCGGUCAGGAAUAACCCGCCGAAAGGCGGGCUAAUACCCGAUAACACUGACACUCUGUGGAGUGUCUUUCAAAGAGGGCCUCUGUUUCCAAGCUUUCACCGGAGGAUGAGCCCGCGUACCAUUAGCUAGUUGGCAGGGUAAUGGUCUACCAAGGCAACGAUGGUUAGCUGGUCUGAGAGGAUGACCAGCCACACUGGAACUGAGACACGGUCCAGACUCCUACGGGAGGCAGCAGUGAGGAAUCUUGCGCAAUGGGGGAAACCCUGACGCAGCAACGCCGCGUGAGUGAGGAAGGCUUUCGGGUCGUAAAGCUCUGUCGGAUGGGAAGAAAUGGUUGGAGGUUAAUACCCUUCAUCCUUGACGGUACCAUCAGAGGAAGCACCGGCUAACUCCGUGCCAGCCGCCGCCGUAAAAC